UGCAUGUGUUGAUGUUCGUGUGUGGGACAUUGCGUGUGUCUGCUCCUAUAAAUUAAGGACCUUUCUUCAUCUGCCUCAAUCUGGGACCAAGCUGGUGACACAGACGUGAUCUCUCUCCUCUUGCUGAACAUAAACUCUAAGCUGCAGCUAUGGCUCUGGAAGCGGCCAUUUGCCAAAUCGUGGGAAUAUUUGAGAAACAUCAAUGUGAUGGAAAGGUGUGCAAAGAAAAACUCAUGUCGGAGAUGAGUGAAGAAUUCAGAAAAGCAAAGUCAUGUUCUUGCUCGGAAGAGGAGAAGAAACAAGAAUCUGUUAAUUUCGAGGAGUUUAUGGGGUGUGUGGCUAAAAUGGCCAAACAUAUGAAAGAAAACAAAGGAUGUAAAAAGUAACACAAACGUCUGAUACGACACAGAAUGUGACUUUUACUGUCUCUGUACACUGUGAUGCAACAUGCUGUCCUUUCAGCUCUGAAUAAGAAAGAAUAAAACAGUUCACCAUGAUA